rnacentral:rRNA from 1 species
AGUGAACGCUGGCGGUAGGCCUAACACAUGCAAGUCGAACGGCAGCACAGGAGAGCUUGCUCUCUGGGUGGCGAGUGGCGGACGGGUGAGGAAUACAUCGGAAUCUACUCUGUCGUGGGGGAUAACGUAGGGAAACUUACGCUAAUACCGCAUACGACCUACGGGUGAAAGCAGGGGACCUUCGGGCCUUGCGCGAUUGAAUGAGCCGAUGUCGGGUUAGCUAGUUGGGGGGGGAAAGGCCCACCAAGGCGACGAUCCGUAGCUGGUCUGAGAGGAUGAUCAGCCACACUGGAACUGAGACACGGUCCAGACUCCUACGGGAGGCAGCAGUGGGGAAUAUUGGACAAUGGGCGCAAGCCUGAUCCAGCCAUACCGCGUGGGUGAAGAAGGCCUUCGGGUUGUAAAGCCCUUUUGUUGGGAAAGAAAUCCAGCUGGCCAAUACCCGGUUGGGAUGACGGUACCCAAAGAAUAAGCACCGGCUAACUUCGUGCCAGCAGCCGCGGUAA